rnacentral:piRNA from 1 species
UNGCUUCCAGGUACAGCUGGGCCUCCCAUC